CAACACAGUCUCACUCUCUACUCGUCAAAUGUCUGACGCAUGGUCAAGUGAUCUGGCGUCACUUUUUUGACGCACUGGGUAUACCUUUGGCGUUAUUUUUCAACGUGCAGGUUAGUCCGAUAGACUUCUAUAGAACUCAGCAGCGUUUAAAUUUGACGUCUUGGUUCAGCACACCGCAACUACACUGAAUAAAUAAAAAUAAAUAAUAGGCUACAAAAAAAAUUAUAUAUGACAGAGAUCGUUUUUAUCUGGCCCUCCAACUUGUUUUUAAGGGUUUAAAUAUUCUCGCAAUCUGAUAUCAAAGUGAUCUCUGUGCCAAAGCUUAGCGCGUUCAUCAGUGGUGAGUUUAACAACACUCAACUGCAGGUAAAACAGCACUCAGCGGUGAGUUUGACCAAAGCAACACUCAACUGCAGGGAAAACGACAUAAAAAGGUGAGUUUAACAACGCUCCAAGGCGCGUGCAAGUAAGCAGUUUAACCGUUUUCUUACAACCCAUUUCGCUUAUCGCUUAUUGAUAGUUCAUCAUCUCUAUGAAAUCACGUUCAAGAAGUCUCAUUCAGCACACAUCGCGAUACUUGCCAUCAGUUUCCAUGUGCCACAGGGUCGGUGAGUAGAUAUAAUUACGCUCUUUUAAUGCCUGUUAUAAAAUGUAUUCUGUCUUUAUUAAUCAGAUUAGCGCCAUAUUGUUUACUCGCUGUAUUAUAUCAGUCAUCCGCGGCUGUCUUUGAGUUUCAUUGCGUUUAACUAAAUGAACACACCUGCUAACUAGUGUGAUUAAACCCUGUCGGUCACGUGACGUGCCAUAGACUUUCAAUAUAUUCAUUUCAUGUCAAAGAUGUAAAUUUGUAGUAAAAUCAUGGUAACCACGACACGUACAAUAGCAACAAAUUAAAUUUGAAGUUAAAACCCAGGAACGGGACAUUUACCAUGUUUUUGCCACAGUAACUGUAGUUCUACUAUGGUAUAUUAAUAACCAAUACAACAAUACAAUAAUCAUCAAACUAACUAUGGUUGUACAACUGUAAUGGUCGUUUUUGAUGUGCUUUUAUAUGACAGAUAUCACACAUUUACUGUACCAUGCUUUUGAUACCUUUUUAUGUAAAUCCAAAAAAAGUAAAUAAAUAAAAGGAAACAUUUUUCCCUUCCUGCAGUUCAUUCAUAUCAGUUUAUAUUUUAAAUAUUUUGCUCACAAAACAUUAUUAAAAUUCUGUUUAUAAUUCUAUUUUAUUGUACCCCUCUCCCUUUCUUAUUUUUAUUAUUAUGUAUUUUUUUUUAGCUGAAAAGAUGUAAAGGAAGCAGUCAUCCCUGUGGUGUUUGUGGAGAGGUAUUUUUUCAGAAAUGGAGAAGGCAGAAAGCUGCGGAGGCAGACAUUUGCAGCAGCCAAGUGUUCGAGUGAGCAUGAUGACCACAAGUGUGUGUCGAACUUUUCAUCACCUGAUGACAGUGGUUCCCAAUCCUGAUCCUGGAGAACCCCAGCACUGCACGGUUUUGGUGUCUCUCUUAUCUGUCUUGGAGUCUUCACUGAUGAGCUGAUGAGUUGAAUCAGGAUUGUUUGCAGAUAAUGCUGUUCAAGCUCAACAGCUCUUUUAAGAGCUAACCCUCACAAACCUUCCUAAAAACUAAAAGAGCUAUUACUGAGUCUCAGCGAAUUUUGCCAUGAUCAGCUCUUCCCAGAAGAGAAGGAAGACCAAGGAAAUGAUUUGCUCAUGAGGAAUGAAGAUGGCCAUCUUGAGCCCAAACAAAGACUGAAGUCCUCUGAUGAUCUCAUCAGCCAAAUGGGGGGUUUUGACCAAGUGAUGCUCUUGAAAGGACUGAAAGAAGAGGAUGUGGUAAAUUGUCUUCAGAGAAAAACCUUCUCAAAAGGUCUCAAAAC